AACGUAGGAGACAAACGUUAUCCGGAGUUACGGGGCGUAAAGGGCGUGUAGGUGGUUUCGUAAGUCUGGCGUGAAAUUUUUCGGCUUAACCGGGAAAGGUCGUCGGAUACUGCAGAACUAGAGGACGGUAGAGGCGUGUGGAAUUCCGGGUGUAGUGGUGAAAUGCGUAGAGAUCCGGAGGAACACCAGUGGCGAAGGCGACACGCUGGGCCGUACCUGACACUGAUGCGCGACAGCAUGGGGAGCAAACAGG
rnacentral:rRNA from 1 species